AUCUUAUCAAGAGUAGGUGGAGGGACUGGCCCGAUGAAACCCGGCAACCGGCGAGCGAUCGCACGGUGCUAAUUCUUGCGGAACUUUAGGAACCCGUAUGGUACGGGGCUUUCUAAGGUCUCUGAGAGAUGAGAG
rnacentral:ncRNA from 1 species